UAAACAUACACACAAACUAGUUACAGUCUUAGGUUCCAAAGGGUGAUAGAGGCUUCUAUAAUAAGCAAGCUCUGUAAGUCCUGCAGGCCAAGCAGUUGGGGAUCCUUUGCUUAUGCUUAGAAAACUUGCCCUCCCAAAGUCCAAGCAUAUAGUUCCAGUUUCUUCUUGUCAGGGAUUUUUAUUCCCUUCCCCCAGAAUUCAAGCUGACAAUUUCACAUGGAUGACAUCUUCAUCGGUGUUGAGGUGAGUAAUUAAAGUCUUUGUUCUUUGACGGUUUCACAAUGGCUCAUUUGGUUACAAUGGUCCUUCUUGGCGGGCAGGACCUAACAUCUUCUGUAGGAAGCCAGCAUUUUACAAUUGGUGACCUGUUUGCAUCAUAAACUUCCGUAAUUGUGUAAGUAAUCAAACAUGCACUAUAACCUUAUAACAUAGGGUACAGAUGUUUUUAGUGAGAUUACUAGAUACAGCAUCCUAUAAGCAUUUCAUAAAGUCAAAACACUAAACACAUUCUUAUAAACUUAAGAUCUAUUUUAAUAAUGCUAAACACACAGCUGAGUCCAACUGGUUUCCAGUUAUGUAUUGGUCAGUGUUCAGUUGCUGUCUAGGAGCCAUGGCACAAACUGGUACUUGGUCUGCCAGCAUCACAAUGGGAAUUUGUGAUAGUGUUCUUCAACUCUGGAAGGUGAAAAGCUUUUAACAAGAUAUUGUUCCUUAAACAGAGAUUCCAGCGGUGGAUCACUUCUUGUCACUGUGGAGGCAAUCUUGUAUCUCCCGGCCUGUUCAGGUAAAACAUAACAGUAGUGUUGUCUGUGAGGACUUGAAUCACCUGAUUCCUGAUGGUGGACAUAAGCAUCUUGCAGGCCUGAUGAAUAGCUCAGUGAUUCAGCACAUUUAUAUGGAGUGAAACCUCCUGAGAUGGCCAAAAAGCCUGUUCCUGAAAUUAUCAAGAUGCCCCCCCCCCACCUUUGGUGGAUGUGUCUUAUGAGAGUCAUAGCCAGUUCUGGUUAUAGAAAGGGAAUCCCUCUGCAUACAUUUAGAGAGGGUCUAACCACCACUCGAGGGACUGAAGCACUCUUGCAGGUAUGCUAAUCAGCAUGUCCAGUGGAUGCCUGCUCAGUCAAUAUAACAAGGCCUGCAGAGCAGACAUCUGAAGUGAAUUCUAGCAUGAUGAGUCACGUACAUGUACGAGGCCCCACGGCGCAGUAGUUGUAGGUAGAAGUGAACUGUUCUCUCCAGACUGGACUUGAGAGAGAGAGAGCAAGAGACACUAUGGACUGAAAUCUGUCCAUAGGGAGGUAAGCCAUGGCAGUUGUGUCUAGGUCCACUUUUAUGAAGGUUAUUUGUUGUGCUGGUUGUAAUGUCAGUUUGUCCAUAUUUAGGUUCAAGUCUAGACAACAGAUGUCUGAUGACAAGGGUGCUGGUUUUGAUAUGGGUUCUUGAUCUUCCAUGAACUAGCCAAUUGUCCAGGUGGUAGAAGGUGGUGCAAUACCUGCCAGUCAGAAGCCUGUCGCCCAAGAAUGGGAAGAUGGUGAAGCUACCUUGUCUGAGCUAAGCUGCGCUGCUACUACUGAGAACACUUUGUGAAGACUCUGGAAGCUGUAGCUAACCCAGAUGGGAGGACCCAGUAUUGGCUGUGGUGGGAGCCCACCACAAACCUGAGGAAUCAUCUGUGGAAGGGGUGAAUAUCCACAUGAAAAUAUGCAUCUUUCAUACUGAGAGCUGUGAACCAUGUGUCUCUUUCUAGGGAUGUAUUAUUGGUGCCACUGUAAGCACAUGGAAUUUCAGUUUGCAAAUAAAAAUGUUGAGCCAACCCAA